AUGAAACUCGUCAGUUGGAACUGUCUGGGGCUCGGGAAUGGCCCGGCAGUUCGCAGCCUCCUCGAGUUGGGGAGGGCGGAGGAGCCCGGCAUCCUGUUUUUGGCAGAAACUACACUCACGGAAAAAGAACUUGAGCGAUUUUAGUGGAUAGUGGGUCUAGCUCAUAUGAAUGCUUGGAACCCAGAAGGAAGGAGCAGGGGGUUGCGAUGUUCUGUAGAAGAGGGGUGGAUGUAG
rnacentral:rRNA from 1 species